GCUUGUCUCAAAGAUUAAGCCAUGCAUGUGUUAGUAUAAACGCCUUUAUACUGUGAAACUGCGAACGGCUCAUUAUAUCAGUUAUAGUUUAUUUGAUACUUUUCGACUAUUGGAUAACCGUAGUAAUUCUAGAGCUAAUACAUGCGUCAAGACCUGACUUUUCGGAAGGGUUGUGUUUAUUAGAUAAAAAGCCAAUCCAUGCUCUGCAUGGUAUUGUGGUGACUCAUAAUAACCGAUCGAAUCGCAUGGCGUAAGCCGGCGAUAAAUCAUUCAAGUUUCUGACCUAUCAGCUUCCGACGGUAGGGUAUUGGCCUACCGUGGCUAUGACGGGUAACGGGGAAUUAGGGUUCGAUUCCGGAGAGGGAGCCUGAGAAACGGCUACCACAUCUAAGGAAGGCAGCAGG
rnacentral:rRNA from 1 species